UUGUGGCUGGGGGUGAAAGGCCAAUCAAACCGGGAGAUAGCUGGUUCUCCCCGAAAGCUAUUUAGGUAGCGCCUCGUGAACUCAUCUUCGGGGGUAGAGCACUGUUUCGGCUAGGGGGUCAUCCCGACUUACCAACCCGAUGCAAACUACGAAUACCGAAGAAUGUUAUCACGGGAGACACACGGCGGGUGCUAACGUCCGUCGUGAAGAGGGAAACAACCCAGACCGCCAGCUAAGGUCCCAAAGUCAUGGUUAAGUGGGAAACGAUGUGGGAAGGCACAGACAGCCAGGAUGUUGGCUUAGAAGCAGCCAUCAUUUAAAGAAAGCGUAAUAGCUCACUGGUCGAGUCGGCCUGCGCGGAAGAUGUAACGGGGCUAAACCAUGCACCGAAGCUGCGGCAGCGACACUAUGUGUUGUUGGGUAGGGGAGCGUUCUGUAAGCCUGCGAAGGUGACCUGUGAGGGUUGCUGGAGGUAUCAGAAGUGCGAAUGCUGACAUAAGUAACGAUAAAGCGGGUGAAAAGCCCGCUCGCCGGAAGACCAAGGGUUCCUGUCCAACGUUAAUCGGGGCAGGGUGAGUCGACCCCUAAGGCGAGGCCGAAAGGCGUAGUCGAUGGGAAACAGGUGAAUAUUCCUGUACUUGGUGUUACUGCGAAGGGGGGACGGAGAAGGCUAUGUUAGCCGGGCGACGGUUGUCCCGGUUUAAGCAUGUAGGCUGGUUAUCCAGGCAAAUCCGGAUAAUCAAGGCUGAGGUGUGAUGACGAGGCACUACGGUGCUGAAGUAACAAAUGCCCUGCUUCCAGGAAAAGCCUCUAAGCAUCAGGUAACAUCAAAUCGUACCCCAAACCGACACAGGUGGUCAGGUAGAGAAUACCAAGGCGCUUGAGAGAACUCGG
rnacentral:rRNA from 1 species